UACGUAGGGUGCGAGCGUUAAUCGGAAUCACUGGGCGUAAAGGGCGCGUAGGCGGUCUGGUAAGCGUGUGGUGAAAGCCCGGGGCUCAACCCCGGGUCGGCCAUGCGAACUGCUGGACUGGAGCAGAUCAGAGGCAGGCGGAAUUCCGGGUGUAGCGGUGGAAUGCGUAGAGAUCCGGAAGAACACCGGUGGCGAAGGCGGCCUGCUGGGAUCUUGCUGACGCUGAGGCUGCGA
rnacentral:rRNA from 1 species